rnacentral:rRNA from 1 species
AUUGAACGCUGGCGGCAGGCCUAACACCUGCAAGUCGAACGAGUGGCGGACGGGUGAGUAAUGUCUGGGAAACUGCCUGAUGGAGGGGGCUAACUACUGGAAACGGUAGCUAAUACCGCAUACCCUCAGAUGUGCCCAGAUGGGCUUAGCUUGGUGGUGGGGUAACGGCUCACCAAGGCGACGAUCCCUAGCUGGUCUGCGAGGAUGACCAGCAACACUGGAACUGAGACACGGUCCAGAAGCCUACGGUAGGCAGCAGUGGGGAAUAUUGCACAAUGGGCGCAAGCCGGAUGAAGCCAUGCCGCGUGUAUGAAGAAGGCCUUCGGGUUGUAAAGUACUUGCAGCGGGGAGGCGUUACCCGCAGAAGAAGCACCGGCUAACUCCGUGCCAGCAGCCGCGGUAAUAC